rnacentral:lncRNA from 10 species
CUUCACACAGACUGCAUGAAAGGAGGGACCUUGUGAGAGGUAAUUGGAUCAUGGAGGUGGUUACCCUCAUGCUGUUCUCAUGAUAGUGAGUGAGUUCUCAUGAGAUCUGAUGGUUUUAUAAGGGGCUUUUCUCCCUUUGCUCAGCACUUCUCUCUCCUGCCACCAUGGGAAGAAGGACAUGUUUGCUUCCCCUUCCGCUGUGAUUGUGAGUUGCCUCAGGUCUCCCCAGCCAUGCAGAACUGUCUGGCAUCCUGGCAGAAUGCGAUUGACCAAUUCUGUCCCCUGUACCACCAACUGGACUCCCUGGGCAGCAUUCAGCUGGCGGCUGGCCUCUUUGCUGAGUCCAAGAUGGCUUCAUUCUCUAGCCUGGGGCCAUGGUGGGCUGGCUGAUGGUCUGAGCUCAGCUGGGAUCCUCCUAUGCUACAGGAAGUCUCAAAAGCUCUCCUCUGUCUCUCUAGCAGUUACGUGGGCUUCUUACCUGAUGGUUUAGGGCUUCAGGAGAGCUACAGGGAGCAAAAACCAUCACUUAAGCCUGUGCCUGGAAACUCACAUGGCCAGGCCUGCAGUAUUCUAAUGGUCAAAACCAUCACUGAUGAUGUCCAGAUUUAAUAGGUAGGGAAAGAGACCCAUUUCUUAAUGUGAAAAGCAUCAAAGAAUUUUCAGCUUUCUUUAAUCUGCCACAAAUGCUAACAAACUUGUGUUCCUUUUCCUCUGCUCACAUGAGAUCAAAGGCAGAUAGUCAGAGAGGAAAAGAUACUGUCACAGGCAAAGCUGUUCAAUAUUUUGAUCAUUAGUCCUACCAGGCAAGUCAACUGCACAGAAAAAAGACAUGACUGGAAUGAUCAUGGGAGAAGCAAGAAAACUACCAGAAGGUGACACAGCAUUUCCAAAGGGACAGCCACCUGAAGCUGGCAUGUGUAGGGUCAGCUAGCCAGAAGAAGGCUGGGCAGCCCUUGAGGGCACAACAGCCACAGUAGAGAGUGAUAAGAAAUGCUCAGCCACGUAUCCAUUUAUUCAACUUAACAUUUACUGAACAUCUACUGUAAACAAAGCACUGAGCUGGUCAUUAUAGACAUAAAGAUCCUUGUCUUCCAAGGGCCUAGAGGCUCCUGGGGAGGAAAGAUGUGGCAAUUGUUAAAUACAGAGUAAGAUGAUAAUGCUAAGAAUUACAUUCUCGGUGAAGACCUUGAGUUAGCAAAAUUACAUUGUACUAACCCAAAUUACUUGAAAAGUGCAAAUAAAUAAAUAAAAAUACAAGUCUUAUAUCUAGUUACCUUUGCAAUGACUCC